UUACACAUGCAAGUCGAACGGCAGCACGGACUUCGGUCUGGUGGCGAGUGGAAACGGGUGAGUAAUACAUCGGAACGUGCCUAGUACUGGGGGAUAACUACUCCAAAGAGUGGCUAAUACCGCAUGAGAUCUACGGAUGAAAGCAGGGGAUCGCAAGACCUUGUGCUACUAGAGCGGCUGAUGGCAGAUUAGGUAGUUGGUGGGAUAAAAGCUUACCAAGCCCACGAUCUGUAUCUGGUCUGAGAGGACGAUCANCCACACUGGGACUGAAACACGGCCCAGACUCCUACUGGAGGCAGCAGUGGGGAAUUUUGGACAAUGGGCGCGAGCCUGAUCCAGCAAUGCCCCGUGCAGGAUGAAGGCCUUCGGGUUGUAAACUGCUUUUGUACGGAACGAAAAGCUUUGGGUUAAUACCCUGGAGUCAUGACGGUACCGUAAGAAUAAGCACCGGCUAACUACNUGCC
rnacentral:rRNA from 1 species